rnacentral:rRNA from 1 species
AACGAACGCUGGCGGCAGGCCUAACACAUGCAAGUCGAACGCUGUAGCAAUACAGAGUGGCAGACGGGUGAGUAACGCGUGGGAACCUUCCCAAUGGUGCGGAAUAGCCCAGGGAAACUUGGGGUAAUACCGCAUAAGCCCUUAGGGGGAAAGAUUUAUUGCCAUUGGAUGGGCCCGCGUCGGAUUAGCUAGUUGGUGAGGUAAUGGCUCACCAAGGCAACGAUCCGUAGCUGGUUUGAGAGAAUGACCAGCCACACUGGGACUGAGACACGGCCCAGACUCCUACGGGAGGCAGCAGUGGGGAAUCUUGGACAAUGGGCGCAAGCCUGAUCCAGCCAUGCCGCGUGAGUGACGAAGGCCUUAGGGUUGUAAAGCUCUUUUGCCGGGGACGAUAAUGACGGUACCCGGAGAAUAAGUCCCGGCUAACUUCGUGCCAGCCGCCGCUGUAA